rnacentral:rRNA from 1 species
GUGAGGAAUAUUGGUCAAUGGGCGGGAGCCUGAACCAGCCAAGUCGCGUGAAGGAAGAAGGAUCUAUGGUUCGUAAACUUCUUUUGCAGGGGAAUAAAGUGCAGGACGUGUCCUGUUUUGUAUGUACCCUGAGAAUAAGGAUCGGCUAACUCCGUGCCAGCAGCCGCGGUAAUACGGAGGAUCCGAGCGUUAUCCGGAUUUAUUGGGUUUAAAGGGUGCGUAGGUGGUUUGAUAAGUCAGCGGUGAAAGUUUGCAGCUUAACUGUAAAAAUGCCGUGGAAACUGUCGGACUUGAGUGUAAAUGAGGUAGGAGGAAUGCGUGGUGUAGCGGUGAAAUGCAUAGAUAUCACGCAGAACUCCGAUUGCGAAGGCAGCUUACUAAGCUACAACUGACACUGAAGCACGAAAGCGUGGGGAUCAAACAGGAUUAGAAACCCCUGUAGUCC